rnacentral:rRNA from 1 species
GUUUAAGCCGCCGCGGUAAUACGUAGGUGACCAGCGUUGUCCGGAUUUACUGGGCGUAAAGAGCGCGCAGGCGGUCGUUCAAGUCGAGUGUGAAAGCCCCCGGCUCAACUGGGGAGGGUCAUUCGAUACUGAUCGACUGGAAGGCAGGAGAGGGAAGCGGAAUUCCCGGUGUAGUGGUGAAAUGCGUAGAUAUCGGGAGGAACACCAGUGGCGAAGGCGACUACCUGGCCUGUUCUUGACGCUGAGGCGCGAAAGCUAGGGGAGCAAACGGGAUUAGAAACCCGGGUAGUCC